rnacentral:rRNA from 1 species
UACAGAGGUCUCAAGCGUUGUUCGGAUUCAUUGGGCGUAAAGGGUGUGUAGGUGGCGCCGUAAGUCGGGUGUGAAAUUUCGGAGCUUAACUCCGAAACUGCAUUCGAUACUGCGGUGCUUGAGGACUGGAGAGGAGACUGGAAUUCCUGGUGUAGCGGUGAAAUGCGCAGAUAUCAGGAGGAACACCGGUGGCGAAGGCGGGUCUCUGGGCCGUAACUGACGCUGAGGAGCGAAAGCGUGGGGAGCGAACAGG